GCCAAGAUAGUUCAAUUGGUUAGAACAUUAAUUUCAUGCAUUAAAGAUAGGAAUUCGACUUUCUUUCCUGGUA